rnacentral:rRNA from 1 species
CUGCUGCCUCCCGUAGGAGUUUGGGCCGUGUCUCAGUCCCAAUGUGGCCGUUCACCCUCUCAGGCCGGCUACUGAUCGUUGCCUUGGUAGGCCAUUACCCCACCAACUAGCUAAUCAGACGCGGAACCAUCGUAUACCACCAGAGUUUUUCACACCGCUUCAUGCGAAGCUGUGCGCUUAUGCGGUAUUAGCACCUAUUUCUAAGUGUUAUCCCCCAGUAUACGGCAGGUUUUCCACGCGUUACUCACCCGCCCG